GACGAACGCUGGCGGCGUGCUUAACACAUGCAAGUCGAGCGGUAAGGCCCUUUCGGGGGUACGACGAGCGGCGAACGGGUAGAGUAACACGUGGUGACCUGCCCUCAGCUCUGGGAUAAGCCUGGGAAACUGGGUCUAAUACCGGAUAUGACUCCAUGACGCAUGUUGUGGGGUGGAAAGCCUUGUGCGGCUGGGGAUGGGCCCGCGGCCUAUCAGCUUGUUGGU
rnacentral:rRNA from 1 species